rnacentral:rRNA from 1 species
GUCCACGCCGUAAACGAUGGGCACUAGGUGCUUUGGGGAGCGACCCUCAGGGUACCGGCGCUAACGCAUGAAGUGCCCCGCCUGGGGAGUACGGCCGCAAGGCUGAAACUCAAAGGAAUUGACGGGGCCCGCACAAGCGGUGGAGCAUGUGGUUUAAUUCGACGCAACGCGCAGAACCUUACCUAGGCUUGACAUGCACGGGAAAGCUGGUGGAAACACUGGCCCCUCUUCGGAGCCCGUGCACAGGUGCUGCAUGGCUGUCGU